ACAGUGUCUGGUGGGUAGUUUGACUGGGGCGGUCUCCUCCCAAAGAGUAACGGAGGAGCACGAAGGUUGGCUAAGCAUGGUCGGACAUCAUGCGGUUAGUGCAAAGGCAUAAGCCAGCUUGACUGCGAGAGUGACGGCUCGAGCAGGUACGAAAGUAGGUCUUAGUGAUCCGGUGGUUCUGAAUGGAAGGGCCAUCGCUCAACGGAUAAAAGGUACUCCGGGGAUAACAGGCUGAUACCGCCCAAGAGUUCAUAUCGACGGCGGUGUUUGGCACCUCGAUGUCGGCUCAUCACAUCCUGGGGCUGAAGUAGGUCCCAAGGGUACGGCUGUUCGCCGUUUAAAGUGGUACGCGAGCUGGGUUUAGAACGUCGUGAGACAGUUCGGUCCCUAUCUGCCGUGGGCGUUGGAAGAUUGAAAGGGGCUGCUCCUAGUACGAGAGGACCGGAGUGGACGCACCACUGGUGUUCGGGUUGUCAUGCCAAUGGCAUUGCCCGGUAGCUAAGUGCGGAAGAGAUAACCGCUGAAAGCAUCUAAGCGGGA
rnacentral:rRNA from 1 species